rnacentral:rRNA from 1 species
UACGGAGGGUGCGAGCGUUGUCCGGAAUCACUGGGCGUACAGGGCGCGUAGGUGGCGCGGGCAGUCAACGGUGAAAGUUCGGGGCUCAACCCUGAAUCGGCCGUCGAUACUCCCGGGCUUGAGCACUGUAGAGGCAGAUGGAAUUCCGGGUGUAGCGGUGGAAUGCGUGGAGAUCCGGAAGAACACCGGUGGCGAAGGCGGUCUGCUGGGCAGUAGCUGACACUGAGGCGCGACAGCGUGGGGAGCAAACAGG